ensembl:lncRNA
CGGGACAGGGGGGAGGGGUCGCUCCCCCGGGGUCCGGUCACCUCUCGGGGGUCAUCCCGCCACCCGGCCCCCCGCACCUCUACCCUCUCUCUGUCCAUGGGGCCCCCAAGCAAACUUUCCCUGGAAGAGUUGGAAGGGCACUUUCAAACUUUGUCCCUUCCCCCUCCUCUGUCGUCUCUCCCCCAGCGCGCCCCCUGACCUCUGCAUCCAGAGUCUCUCCUGAGGUCAAUCCCCCAAUGCUGCCUGGGUCCCCUGAGGGAACGAGGAGGGGUCUCUUGAGUCGCCUCCUCUCCUCAAAGACCCCCGCGUCUCCCAUGUAUCCUAACCGGGAAUUCAUUUCUAUACCUCCCUCAGCCUAGGAGUGUUGGGGUGUCAGAGGCAGAGCUCGCUGCCCCCACCCCUGAGGCCCAUCCUGGGGGUCCAGUCCGCCUCCCAAAGCCCCUUGAAAGCAGUUGGGGGUGGGGGGAGGCAGAGCGGGCAGUGGUCCACAAUGGAGGAGCUGCCCUAGAUGCUAAAACAAGAGACUGUCCUGGGGGCCCCUGGGAUGAGGAGAGGCCCUGAGUGCUUUGGGAACUUGGGAAAACCGGGCUCUAGGGGAGCGGUCGGGGAGGGGGUAGUGUUCCUCGGGUCCUGACUAAUCCUCGAAAGUGUGCAGUUGUUCAGGGAGCCGUGGCCGGGACCACCGCCAUUUUGCUGGGAGGAUGCGAUGUCUUUGUUAAAACGUACACAUCUUCUCCUGUGCUGCCUGGCAGACAGGAGCUCUAGAGAGGCUAAGAGCCUUGUCCAAGAUGGGUCAACCUGAAGGAGGGUGACAGGCCGACAGACUCCCAAGCCAGUGACUUUCCCACUGCACCUCCUGUGGUCUCCAGAGACCUUGCAAGACACGCACUCAUUCUGGACUUCGGAAUGCUAAGAUGUUCGCUUGAUGUGUGUGUUGCACUGAGGUUAACGUAAGAAACAUCACCAGUGCCACGGGAGCCCCCUUUGUGCCCUGAUCACAUCUCCGUGACCUCUGACCUGAAAUUUUUCUUGCUUUCCAGGCAAUGUUGCUGUGACUUUUCUACUGCAAGUGCGCUGGCGCAAACAGGAAGGAGUUGCGUUAUGCACAGCUUCAGCUUUACCAGGUCGUGCCGGCUGCUCUCUACAAGCUGCCAUCUUGGUGAUGAUUAGGGAAAGGCACAAUGAAGGUGGCGAGACCACUGGAGGCCCUCCCCGCUCUGCAGGAAAACAAUCGCAAACCCACGUGGAUCGAGAGUCAAAGGAUGGACAGAGAGACAAACUCACACUGCAGGACAGAGGCCUGAGCAUGCAGGAAUCCAGAGCCGUGAAUUGUUCAGACUCAACCUGGACCCAAUCGUGCAAAAAGAACUGGAUAAACCCACACUGAGGGACGUUCUGCAAGAUGACAGGCCUGGGCCCUCCAAAAUCGUUGAAGUCACUGAAGACUACGGAAGGCAGGAGAUGUUCCAGACUGAAGGAGACGGAAGAGCCCUGCGACUGGACCCUGGAUUUAAAAAAGAUUCUAAAAGACGUUAUAGAAACAAUUGAGGAAAUUUGAAUGUGAAUUGUAUAUUAGAUGAUAUUGGGCCUGUGUUCCAGUCUUUUUUUUUAAAGAUUUUUUUUUUUUCCUUUUCCUCUCCAAUCCCCCCAGUACAUAGUUGUAUAUUUUAGUUGUGGGUCCUUCUGGUUGUGGCAUGUAGGAUGCUGCCUCAGUGUGACCUGAUGAGCAGUGCCAUGUCCACACCCAGGAUCCGAACCAGUGAAACCCUGGGCCGCCAAAGCAGAGCUCGCGAACUUAACCACCCGGCCACAGGGUCUGCCCCUGUGUUCCAGCCUUGAAUGUGCUCACUGGAUUGUGGUUGUGGAGGCUGGGUGUCCUUUUGCUUGAGAGACAUGUGCUGAAGGAUUGAGAGUGUCGUGAUGUCGGCAACUCAGAUCAGUCUGCAAAAUACAUGUGUUUAGACGUGAUGCAGCUGUAUGGAUCGACGAUCUGUGUAUGCGUAGACACAGGUGUCAAGAGAGAGCACAAGAGAGAAAUAAAAAGCGCAAAAUGGCAACAAUCUUGAACCUGGGCAAGGGAUGUGUGGGAAUUUAUUGUACUAUUCUUGCAACUCGUCUGUAGGUUUGAAAACCUAUCGACUAAGUUGGAGGGAAAGUGUUCG